AACAGACAAGCUCACCACAUAUCCCACCAUGCCUCUGCCCUCUGGUCAAUAGAUUUGAAGCUGAACUAGGCUCUUCCAGUGAAUUUGACACCUCGGAGACCUCAGCUGCAGUCUCCAGGAAUCUCCCUUGCUCUCCUCAACUCAACAUCUGCCAACCGUGAACUCGCUCUCUCUGCAGGCUUCCUUUUCAUUUCACGGACUCAAAAUA